CACGACGACGCGGGAGAGCUCACCGGCUCAGGGACGAGCACGGUGGCGCCGAAGGGGCAACAUCCCCGGAACCUCUCAGGCACCCAGACCGCGUCCGUCUG
rnacentral:ncRNA from 1 species